UCACAGUAUAUAACUAUGACAUCAUACCAGGUGACUAAGACACGCGAAACAAGGCAGAACCAGCCUUGGCUCCCUGUGCAUCCAUCAGCUGCUUCAUGCUCAGCUGGGCUGCGAUUCUAUCCUCCUCACAUUUUCCAAAACCACAGUCAAUUGCAUUUGCCCGCACGCUUCUGUGGAGACAAACCAGCCUAACUUCUAGAAAUCUGAAGAAUGCUCUGUUGCCGAGCAGUGAUAUCUGAACCAUCUCUGCAUGCUACAUUUAACUUCUUAAGCUCUCUAAGUGGCUAGUGAACAUUAGACAUCAAGAUCUAUUUCGAUUUUCCCAACCUAUUCCUACAAAAACAUGUCCAGUUGUUAAAACCAAAGCCAAGUCCUGUGGCAAAUCAAAAUAAGUGAUAUUGAAGUGAAUACAUCUUAUCAAAUCGCAUCCACAGGAAGAGCAGAUGGACUGAUCAACUGAAUCACCUGUCUCUAAUCAGGGCUGAUCCAUGAUGCUGUCCUCCAUGGAUGUAAAAAUUUAAUGAUCUCUCAAUGAUAGGUGGACUCAGAGACUGAACAAUUUUAUCUGUUUUACAUCUCAAAAACAUCUUUCAUGUAGUAAAAUUCUUCCAGACAACAGCCUUCUUCAUUGGACAGAAAGUGAUUUCCAGGAAGAGGGCCUUUUAUAGGAGUCAACGUCUAGAUAAUUUAUGCAUUAGCUACACAGGGGGCUCAUGGACAGCACUGUGAUGAAA